rnacentral:rRNA from 1 species
UUAACUGUGCUAAGGUAGCAUAAUCAUUAGUUUUUUAAUUGAAAACCAGAAUAAAAGAUCUGACGAAAACUCAACUUUUUCAAAUAUAGUUUAAUUUACCUCUAGAGUAAAAAGGCUCUUAGUGUUUAGAAGGACGACAAGACCCUGAAAACUUAAAUCUUUAAAGAAAAAAAACUAGAAUAUAACAAAUCUAUAAAAGAUUUUAGCUGGGGCGGCAAUUUCUAUUCUAAACAAAAAUAACCACAACGUAAUGAACGAACAUAUCAAACUCUCAUCAAUAAUAAAUCUAAGUUACUUCAGGGAUAACAGCACAAUAUCUUUUAAGAGUUCUUAUCGUCAAAGAUGCGUGUGACCUCGAUGUUGAAUUGAAAUUUCUUUUUGGAGCAACCUCUAAAAAAGAAAGUCUGUUCGCCUUUUGAAUUUUCA